AACGAACGCUGGCGGCAUGCCUAACACAUGCAAGUCGAACGAGACCUUCGGGUCUAUUUGCGCACGGGUGCUUAACGCGUGGGAACCUGCCCUUAGGUUCGGAAUAACUCCCCGAAAGGGGUGCUAAUACCGGAUAAUGUCUUCGGACCAAAGAUUUAUCGCCUUUGGAUGGGCCCGCGUUGGAUUAGCUAGUUGGUAGUGUAAAAGCCUACCAAGGCGACGAUCCAUAGCUGGUCUGAGAGGAUGAUCAGCCACACUGGGACUGAGGCACGGCCCAGACUGCUACGGAAGGGAGCAGUGGGGAAUAUUGGAGGAUGGGCGAUAACGUGAUCCCGCCAUGCCGGGGGAGUGAUGAAGGCGUUAGGGUUGUAAAGCUCUUUUACACGGGAUGAUAAUGACAGUAACGGGAGAAUAAGCUCCGGCUAACUCCGUG
rnacentral:rRNA from 1 species